UACGUAGGGCGCAAGCGUUGUCCGGAAUUAUUGGGCGUAAAGAGCUCGUAGGCGGUCUGUUACGUCCGCUGUGAAAACCCAGGGCUUAACCCUGGGCUUGCAGUGGAUACGGGCAGACUAGAGGCAGGUAGGGGAGAAUGGAAUUCCCGGUGUAGCGGUGAAAUGCGCAGAUAUCGGGAGGAACACCGGUGGCGAAGGCGGUUCUCUGGGCCGAAACUGACGCUGAGGAGCGAAAGCGUGGGGAGCAAACAGG
rnacentral:rRNA from 1 species